AGUCGUAACAAGGUUUCCGUAGGUGAACCUGCGGAAGGAUCAUUAACACAAAUGAUAAAACCUUUUGGUGAUGUGUUGGGUAUUAGUUCACACUAGUGCCUACACACACCAAAAUUACCACAAUGGAAAAUGUUAAAGUCUAUUAACAUUAUUAUUAAUGUUAAUAGUUCUUUAAUCUUCAUACCUCAUAAACCAUGAAAUCCUUCUUAAUUGUACUUAUGAUUAUAUCAUAAAACCAUAUAAUCUUAAAACACAACUUUUAGCGACGGAUCUCUUGGCUCAU
rnacentral:misc_RNA from 1 species